rnacentral:miRNA from 1 species
ACACAUUCCAGCCAAUCAGCAGCAGACCCUCUCUCCCAGACCCUCCCACCUCCUGGACAGCUCACUAAGAAUGCAGCUUCACAAUGGAUGCUGUCCAGGAGGUGGGAGGGUCUGGGAGGGAGGGUCUGCUGCUGAUUGGCUGGAAUGUGUCG